CUAAAGUUGCCUGAAAACUCUUUAUUGAACAAGCCUCAAAAUGUACAAAUGCAUUAAUUGAAGGUAUGCACAACUCGUCAACUGGCAGUAACAUACAAAAUAACAAAUGACAAACAAAAAGCAAAACAUUAUGGGUCAAGGAUUUUUAUUAUACAUCGGGAGUUCCAGGAACAAUAGGCGAUCUGUGGCUUCUACUGAUGGGUAGGUGAACGUAAACCUCAUGAACUUCUUGUUUACAAACCUCGUCUCUAUCUCUAUCUAUAGCGUAGCAUAUGUAAACAGUGUCGAUCACGUUGUCUAGCACAUGGAUAAAGAAGCCCAGCACCACUAUCAAAAGCACCCAUGCAAGAACAGCUACAAAGUAUGAGUCAACCCCAAGAUUGCUCACGCCCUUCAAGAUGGCACAAACCACAAUUGCAUAUAUUGCUGAGAGGACAAAGGCAAUUCCAGCCAACAAACGAGAUGAGACAGUCUCCACGAAAACGGCAGAGAGAAGAUUGCGUUUUAAGAGCUCAUAUGUCAUUCUUGCAGAGGUACAGUAGGCUUCACCAGUUAUUGCCGCAAAGUUGAUUGUGAACUUGUUAAGAAAAUCUACUGCUGACAGUAAUGCAUUAACACAACACCGCAACAUAAGGUUCACCAUCCCAGGAAUAUCCUCUUGUCUUGCACUAUCAACAGCAGCCCGCACCAUACGAACAACACAAAUAAGUAGUCCAGAUAGGCAUACAGUUCCAGAGGAGGGGCCAAAUGCAUUUCUCAAAGAGCUUCUAAUACUCCUCUUAGGAGCUGAGUCUUCCUUUGUGAAGUACCACUGAGCAA
rnacentral:misc_RNA from 1 species